rnacentral:rRNA from 1 species
UACGGGGGGGGGGUAAGCGUUGUUCGGAAUUACUGGGCGUAAAGGGCUCGUAGGCGGCCAACUAAGUCAGACGUGAAAUCCCCUCAGCUUAACUGGGGAACUGCGUCUGAUACUGGAUGGCUUGGAUCCGGGAGAGGGAUGCGGAAUUCCAGGUGUAGCGGUGAAAUGCGUAGAUAUCUGGAGGAACACCGGUGGCGAAGGCGGCAUCCUGGACCGGUAUUGACGCUGAGGAGCGAAAGCCAGGGGAGCAAACGGG